rnacentral:rRNA from 1 species
AACGAACGCUGGCGGCAGGCCUAACACAUGCAAGUCGAACGCCGUCGCAAUACGGAGUGGCAGACGGGUGAGUAACGCGUGGGAACCUUCCCAAUGGUACGGAAUAGCUCAGGGAAACUUGGGGUAAUACCGUAUACGCCCGAAAGGGGAAAGAUUUAUCGCCAUUGGAUGGGCCCGCGUAGGAUUAGCUAGUUGGUGAGGUAAUGGCUCAACAAUGCGACGAUCCUUAGCUGGUCUGAGAGGACGACCAGCCACACUGGGACUGAGACACGGCCCAGACUCCUACGGGAGGGAGCAGUGGGGAAUAUUGGACAAUGGGCGAAAGCCUGAUCCAGCCAUGCCGCGUGAGUGAUGAAGGCCUGAGGGUUGUAAUGCUCUUUUGGCGGGGAAGAUAAUGACGGUACCCGCAGAAUAAGCCCCGGCUAACUUCGUGCCAGCCGCCGCAGUAACAC